rnacentral:tRNA from 1 species
GCGUUCUUGGUGUAGUGGUCAGCACGCUCGACUCGUAACCGAGAGGUCCGUGGUUCAACCCGGCGAAGGCG